UACGUAGGCAGCGAGCGUUGUUCGGAGUUACUGGGCGUAAAGGGUGUGUAGGCGGUUGUUUAAGUUUGUGUGAAAUCUCCCGGCUCAACUGGGAGGGUGCGCCGAAUACUGAGCGACUAGAGUGCGGGAGAGGAAGUGGAAUCCUGGUGUAGCGGUGAAAUGCGUAGAUAUCAGGAGGAACACCGGUGGUGUAGACGGCUUUCUGGACCGUAACUGACGCUGAGACACGAAAGCGUGGGUAGCAAACAGG
rnacentral:rRNA from 1 species